rnacentral:snoRNA from 14 species
AUGGAGAUGAUUAAGAUAUAUAUAUAUCUUAUGUGCUAUACUAAUAGUUGAAGGUUCAUUAGCAGAGUAACUGCAUAUAGCAAUUCUGCCAGUACCCUUCAGACAAAA